AUUGAACGCUGGCGGCAGGCCUAACACAUGCAAGUCGAACGAGUGGCGGACGGGUGAGUAAUGUCUGGGAAACUGCCCGAUGGAGGGGGAUAACUACUGGAAACGGUAGCUAAUACCGCAUACCAUUAGAGCUGCCCAUAUGGGAUUAGCUUGUUGGUGGGGUAACGGCUCACCAAGGCGACGAUCCCUAGCUGGUCUGAGAGGACGACCAGCCACACUGGAACUGAGACACGGUCCAGACGCCUACGGGAGGCAGCAGUGGGGAAUUUUGCACAAUGGGCGCAAGCCUGAUGCAGCCAUGCCGCGUGUAUGAAGAAGGCCUUCGGGUUGUAAAGUACUUUCAGCGGGGAGGCGUUACCCGCAGAAGAAGCACCGGCUAACUCCGUGCCAGCCGCCGCGGUAAUAC
rnacentral:rRNA from 1 species